UUAAAGGAAACCAGUUUGAAAUUUGUGAUUUCAAAUAUUUCUUUUUUGAAAUGAAAUCACAGCUUCAAAUUAGGAACAUCUUAUGAACUUCUAAAAUUUCAGCCAUUAAAACAAUACCUAGGGAUAUCCAGUCUAGCUUCAUAUACAGUAUAUUGCAAUGAUCAGAUAUGAGGUCUAGGUUUAACAAAAUUUAUCUUCAACAAAUUAAAAAUAUCAUUUUCUGUAGUUUUCACAUGAGAUCUGUCUAUAGGAUUGCGUAAAGACUAUUUCUUUUUCAAUUACAGAUACAUCCACGGAAUUGUCCUGGUGGAAUGAGGAAAAGAAAUAGUGAUACAAUAUCGAAUUUCCGUGACACAGACACAGCAUCUAUAACAGAAGUAUACCUACAAAAUAAACAGUUAUCUUUAGGAUCUUUAAAUAAAAUAAUAAAUGAUUUUUUAGAUGUAAGAGAACAAAGGCCUGUAAAUACAUAUGACGAUAUUCUUUAUGAUCAAGAAUACAAUUUUGAUGGCAAUUGAGGAUAUAAAAAGAUGGCGCUUCGGUGAAUGGUGUUAGGAAGAUGAAAAAUUGGUUUAUUAAUAAAAUUAACUAGACAGUUAGCCUUCAUGAACUAAUUCCAUUACUGUACAAUAAACUUAAACUUUAACAAUGACCUUUAAAUCAGUCGUUAUAAAAAUGAAUAAAAUGAAAUAUCUUGUUAUAAUAACACAAAUGUAUAAAAUGUUUGAAUAAAUCGGUUUUUCAACAGCUU